rnacentral:rRNA from 1 species
UACGGGGGGGGCAAGCGUUGUUCGGAAUUACUGGGCGUAAAGGCUCGUAGGCGGCCAACUAAGUCGGAUGUGAAAUCCCCAGGCUCAACUUGGGAACUGCAUCCGAUACUGGAUGGCUUGAAUUCGGGAGAGGGAUGCAGAAUUCCAGGUGUAGCGGUGAAAUGCGCAGAUAUCAGGAGGAACACCGGUGGCGAAGGCGGGUCUCUGGGUAGUAACUGACGCUGAGGAGCGAAAGCGUGGGUAGCGAACAGG